rnacentral:rRNA from 1 species
GACGAACGCUGGCGGCGUGCUUAACACAUGCAAGUCGAACGGUAAGGCCCUUCGGGGUACACGAGUGGCGAACGGGUGAGUAACACGUGGGUGAUCUGCCAUGCACUUCGGGAUAAGCCUGGGAGACUGGGUCUAAUACCGGAUAGGACCACUGCCUGCAUGGGUGGUGGUGGAAAGCUUUUGCGGGGUGGGAUGGGCCCGGGGCCUAUCCGCUUGUUGGUCGGGUGAUGGCCUAGCGAGGCGACGACGGGUAGCCGGCCUGGGAGGGUGACCGGCCAAACUGGGACUGAGAUGCGGCCCAGACACCUACGGGAGGAAGGAGUGGAGAAUAUUGCACAAUGCGAGCAAGCCAGAUGCAGCGACGCCGCGUGAGGGAUGACGGCCUUCGGGUUGUAAACCUAUUUCAGCACCGACGAAGCGCAAGUGACGGUAGGUGCAGAAGAAGGACCGGCCAACUACGUGCCAGCCGCCGCGGUAA